rnacentral:rRNA from 2 species
UACGGGGGGAGCAAGCGUUGUUCGGAUUUACUGGGCGUAAAGGGCGCGUAGGCGGCCACCGCAAGUCAGUUGUGAAAGCUCUGGGCUUAACCCAGAAAGGUCAACUGAUACUGCGGGGCUAGAGUGCAGAAGGGGCAACUGGAAUUCUCGGUGUAGCGGUGAAAUGCGUAGAUAUCGAGAGGAACACCUGCGGCGAAGGCGGGUUGCUGGGCUGACACUGACGCUGAUGCGCGAAAGCUAGGGGAGCGAACGGG